rnacentral:rRNA from 1 species
AGUGAACGCUGGCGGCAGGCCUAACACAUGCAAGUCGAGCGGCAGCGCGGGGGCAACCCUGGCGGCGCGCGGCGGACGGGUGAGGAAUUCGUCGGAAUCUGCCUUUUUGUGGGGGAUAACGUAGGGAAACUAACGCUAAUACCGCAUACGUCCUACGGGAGAACGUGGGGGACCGCAAGGCCUCACGCAGAAAGAUGAGCCGACGACCGAUUAGCUAGUUGGUGGGGUAAAGGCCCACCAAGGCGACGAUCGGUAGCUGGUCUGAGAGGAUGAGCAGCCACACUGGAACUGAGACACGGCCCAGACUCCUACGGGAGGCAGCAGUGGGGAAUAUUGGACAAUGGGCGCAAGCCUGAUCCAGCCAUGCCGCGUGUGUGAAGAAGGCCUUCGGGUUGUAAAGCACUUUUGUCCGGAAAGAAAUCCCUGGAGCUAAUACCUUCGGGGGAUGACGGUACCGGAAGAAUAAGCACCGGCUAACUUCGUG